rnacentral:ncRNA from 2 species
GCGCAUAGCCAGGGGCGCCGCAAGGCUGAGACGUACCCUUCGAACCUGACCCGGAUAAUGCUGGCGGAGGGAGGUUGAACCGAAGAGAA